rnacentral:rRNA from 1 species
UGUGUAAGCGAAGCGAUAUGUGGAGCGGUGAAAGGCUCAGUAACGGGCGAUUUAUUUGAUCUCCUGGGACGGACAACAUCGGGAAACUGAUGGGAAAACGUCUAAGUUGCAGUAUAUUUAUUGUGACGUAAACCUUUGUGUGCAGGAGAGUAAGAUGCCAUCCUAUCAGUUAGUAAGUAGGGUAAGGGCCUACUUAGACGAAGACGGGUACGGGGAAUGAGGGUUUGAUUCCGGAGAGGGAGCCUGAGAGAUGGCUACCAGGACCAAGGUCAGCAGCAGGCGCGAAAAUUAUCGAAGCCCGCCUAGGGGCGAUAGUGAGGAGACGUGUAUACGAAGUACGUGUAAAGACCGUACUAAUAACUGGAGGUCAAGUCUGGUGCC